UAAUAAUAAAAUGGAGUCAGAUUUGAGUUUAACCUAAAAUUAAUACACUGUUAAAAAUUACCAGCAUUUCACAAUAAUUAACAGUAUUAUUUUACAGUAACUUGUUGUAAUUAAGUUUCCCUGUAAUAUCCCAAUGAAUACCUGUAAAAAACUACAGUAUCCUUGGAUUUUACAGCAUUUAACUCUUAUUUUACAGAAAAUCUUGCUAUCUAAAACCUACUGUUAUAUCAUAACAAGGUCUGUAAUAUCACAGCAACACAGUGUAAAAAAAUAAGUAUUUCACAGCAGUAAACAGUAUUAUUACAGUGAAAUAUUGUAUUAAAAUGUGCGCUGGGAAGUCCCUUGACAUAACCGAUCUGUUUUGAAUUGAAAGCGCUGUCGUCGUGUCUCUUCUAUUCCGGGCUGAAUGGAGAAGGUAUCCUAGUUACAACAUGACUGAGCUAACUGGAGAGCCAUCCAAAAUCAUUUGGCGACACUGGCAAGCAUGGUGAUACUGCUGGAGACGGAUGUCACUCUCUUCUGCAUCAUGUAAAAAUGAGAGUGGAGUAAAAAAAUAGGAAUAUGUCUCGAUGAAGAUGAGAUUUAAAGCAAUAUUAUAAUAGCCAAAUUCGCUGAAAUAUUGACCUGUAUGAACAAAGAGACAGCAAAGAACUAGGAAACACAAUGUAUAAGGUCCUAAGCAUAAGACCAAAACGUUAGAACUAGGUGGGAAAUAAGAUAAGAAUGGUGAAACUGUGGUAAACAAAUUCAUGGAAACAUAUUCUGGUUUCAAAGUGUAACGCUAUGAAAAACAUUGCGGUUUAUAUCUCACAACUCUAGAAAUUUAAGGUGUACUUCGCGUACUAUGCCUAUUUUCAUUUUUUAAUUUAGUGUCUUUCGAUGGAAUAUUUUAUGAGAGAUGAGAUCACUGAAUUCAAUGAUGAACUGCCUUUAAC